GCCCUGCUAGCUCAGUGGUAGAGCGUCGCACUCGUAAGCGUAUUGCUCACAUGCGAAGGUCAGUCGUUCAAGUCGGCUGUGGGGCA